rnacentral:rRNA from 1 species
AUUGAACGCUGGCGGCAGGCCUAACACAUGCAAGUCGAGCGAGCGGCGGACGGGUGAGUAAUGUAUGGGGACUGCCCGAUAGAGGGGGCUAACUACUGGAAACGGUAGCUAAUACCGCAUACUAUCGGAUAACCCAUAUGGGAUUAGCUAGUGGGUGGGGUAACGGCUCACCAAGGCGACGAUCUCUAGCUGGUCUGAGAGGCUGAUCAGCCAAACUGGGACUGAGACACGGACCAGACUCCUACGGAGGCAGCAGUGGGGAAUAUUGCACAAUGGGCGCAAGCCUGAUGCAGCCAUGCCGCGUGUAUGAAGAAGGCCUUAGGGUUGUAAAGUACGUUCAGCGGGGAGGCGUUACCCGCAGAAGAAGCACCGGCUAACUCCGUGCCAGCAGCCGCGGUAAUUC